rnacentral:rRNA from 1 species
GACGGAGGGAGCUAGCGUUGUUCGGAUUCAUUGGGCGUAAAGGGUGCGUAGGUGGCGAUGUAAGUCGGGUGUGAAAUCUCCAAGCUUAACUUGGAAACUGCACUCGAUACUGCGUCGCUCGAGGACUGUAGAGGGCAUUGGAAUUCACGGUGUAGCAGUGAAAUGCGUAGAUAUCGUGAGGAAGACCAGUGGCGAAGGCGAAUGCCUGGGCAGUUCCUGACACUGAGGCACGAAGGCCAGGGGAGCAAACGGG